rnacentral:misc_RNA from 1 species
GAUGAAGAACGUAGCGAAAUGCGAUAAGUAAUGUGAAUUGCAGAAUUCAGUGAAUCAUCGAAUCUUUGAACGCACAUUGCGCCCCCUGGUAUUCCGGGGGGCAUGCCUGUCCGAGCGUCAUUACAACCCUCAAGCUCUCCGGAGUUUGGUGUUGGGGCGCCUGGGGCUUUUCGACCUCAGGGCCCUCAAGUCCAUCGGCGGGACCGCCAGGACACUGAGCGCAGUAGUAUUAUUUCGCUCGGUAGGAUCUUCCACGGCGGGUCGAUCUGGCCGCUAAACCCCCCAAUUCUCACCAAAGGUUGACCUCGGAUCAGGUAGGAAUACCCGCUGAACUUAAGCAUAUCAAUAAGCGGAGGA